rnacentral:rRNA from 1 species
UACGUAGGCAGCAAGCGUUGUUCGGAGUUACUGGGCGUAAAGGGUGCGUAGGCGGUCCUAUAAGUAUGGUGUGAAAUCUCCCGGCUUAACUGGGAGGGUGCGCUAUAGACUGUGGGACUAGAGUGUGGGAGAGGAAAGUGGAAUUCCUGGUGUAGCGGUGAAAUGCGUAGAUAUCAGGAGGAACACCGGUGGUGUAAACGGCUUCUGGACCAUAACUGACGCUGAGGCACGAAAGCCGUGGGUAGCAAACAGG